UUUUUUCGAUUGAUUGCUUUAUCAAACAUCUGCUUUAAAACAUAUUCGAAAAUAGCUGGUUUGAACAUGUCUCUUUAAAACAAAGGACAAUUAGAUUCAAAAUCAACACAAUGAAAUUAACACGGGAAAAAAUAUAAUUAAAAAAGAGUGAAGAAAAAAAAACAAAGGUAAAUUAAAACUCAGCAGUUGAUCAAAACAAACUGACAAUGCAAUUUCAAAAGACGAA
rnacentral:lncRNA from 1 species